GAUGAACGCUGGCGGCGUGCUUAACACACGCAAGUCGAACGGUGAAAGAGAGCUUGCUCUCUGGAUCAGUGGCGAACGGGUGAGUAGCACGUGAGCAAUCUGCCCCUGACUCUGGGAUAAGCGCUGGAAACGGCGUCUAAUACCGGAUACGAGCUGCACAGGCAUCUUCAGCAGGCGGAAAGAACUUCGGUCAGGGAUGAGCUCGCGGCCUAUCAGCUAGUUGGUGAGGUAAUGGCUCACCAAGGCGUCGACGGGUAGCCGGCCUGAGAGGGUGCCCGGCCACACUGGGACUGAGACACGGCCCAGACUCCUACGGGAGGCAGCAGUGGGGAAUAUUGCACAAUGGGCGCAAGCCUGAUGCAGCAACGCCGCGUGAGGGACGACGGCCUUCGGGUUGUAAACCUCUUUUAGCAGGGAAGAAGCGAAAGUGACGGUACCUGCAGAAAAAGCACCGGCUAACUACGUGCCAGCAGCCGCGGUAAAAC
rnacentral:rRNA from 1 species